AGAUAGAGCUGGGUUUUUUAUGGGUCGUCGUCGGUGGUGAUUUCCGAUGACUUGGAGUGCGAUUCCGGCGAUUUCAGUGGCGAUUCCGGUGAACCCGUAACCCGAGGACUCGAGGAAGAGAACUGGAGGUGACCCGAUUCAGGAAGACCCGAGAAACCGUGAGAUCCGAAAAAACCAGUCCUACAUUGACGAGCUUCAGUGAUACCUCCGGUAAAAGCUCGACCCCGACGCUAAUGACUAGUCGAGAGAAGCGGUACCUUCAGGAGAAUUUGAAGGGCGAGAAGACCCCCAAAGAAUCCAUGGCUGCCCAUCCAAAGGCCUUCUUGGGGUGCUCUUGCUCUGGUGAUUUCGCCAUUUAUCUCUAAUUCCCACACGUAGAAAGCAACUAAGAAACAAUAAUGAGCAUGUUCAUGUAA